UUGGAGAGGCAACAUGGGAGAUGUAACCGGCACGUUGCUCGCAGCGGAGAGGUACGAAGAAUAAAGUGCAACUUGACAGCAGACGGCUCACUUGGGGAUUUGUGUAUGUUUUUCUAUUAGCGAACGAUCGGGCCUUGAGCUUCAAUCCUCCGUCAAAGACGUCAGGAGCCGGUUUAGAGGUCUUCGGAACUGAAGGCCCUGUGAUUUUGGACAAACGUAUAAUCUUCAGCAAAGUGACGCUUGAGGCUAUUUAUCAAACUUUGAUGUGUUCGCCGCGCAGCCCUUACCAUACAACAUGUUUUUUCACAUAUGCAGUGUUACACAAGACCUGUAAACAGACGUCGGUGUGUGAAGAAACGGUGGAAUCAUCGCUUUGAAGCACACGGCCUGCCUCAGAGCUUUCACGCCAUAACAUACAGGACGCUGCAUAAGUACGGCAGAUUGAAAGUUAAACCAUAAAGAUAUACAAAACGUGCUUUUCGUGUGAUUUUCGCUUCGAACAGCUUCCUGCAGCACGAUCCAUCAUCUGCGAGGGCUGUCAGUCGAUCGCAGACGAAGCACUCAACAGUGUCCUUCCUGUCAGUCAGCCCACGAGAAGCUGUUUCAAUACAAAAGGCUGUCUGUCGUGGCCGCUGUCAAGGAAGAUGGUCUCUGCGCCUGUUUCCGUCUCUGAGCUGUGAUUGGACAGCGUUGGAUACGUAAUGCAUCCAAAGCCUCUGUGUUAAAACAAACAUCAAUCAUUAAAGGCGUUCCGUCACAGAAAGAGUCAUUGUGUGACUAAAUAUUUGUAUGUUAUCUGAGGCCAUUUGUGGGUUUGCAGUGAUUUGUUGUGUAAACCAAUACAAUCAAUUACAAAAGAAUGGAAUUAUAAAAGGUAGCACAGAACUUUGACAAAACAGUACAAGAUUUUGAGAAAAAAUAAUACUCCGUUCAAUAUGUUGCAUGUAAUGUAGAACUUUGAGACUAAAUAAUUAUAAUUAUAAAUGAUUGUUUUUUAGUGCAACGCGAUGGUUGAAUGAUGAUGAAGAUGGUCAAUAAAAUGCACCAAUUGAAACUACUUUAACCGCCAAGAAAUCACAUUUUUUCCAGCUCACAAUAUUUUACUCUACAUGAUAUGAACAAAUUAUUGAUCCCUUUUCACAAAGCAGUUUCACUUUACUUAAGCAGAGAGACAAUAAAAAGACAUUCACCUUGAAUUAAACCCUCUCCACUAAAUUAGCAAAACAAAUUCUUAAAAAGAAGCCUGUAGCGGGUGUGUGUGUGUGUGUGUGUGUGUGUGUGUGUGUGUUUUAUUCCUGUUUAUGAGCUUGAUAGCUCUUGUAAUCAAACCAGUGGAGGAUUCUGAUUUAAGGGAAGUGGUGUUUUAAAUAAUGGCCUAAAAUUCGGAUGAGGUCAGGAUGUGAGGCUAUUUUGACCCCCCCCCCCCCCCCCCUGUAAAUACGCAAUCCGACUGAAGCCUCAUUUCUCUUUACCUACAGUAUGUUUUCUUGUAGCUGCAUAGUUAUUUAGUAACUUAAGCUUAUUCUACAGUUGUCAUAGUAUUUUUCCACAAAAUGCGAGGCUGUACCUCCGUUUGAACGAUAUCGCUUUCGAAUUUCCGAAUAGCACAGG
ensembl:lncRNA